GGGAGGGGUAAACUAUUGAAUGUGGUUCAAUCAAGAGAAGGAAAAAAAAAUAAAAAUAAUAGAUAAGAAUACUCUUCUAGCUUCACAGUAUCCAAAUAAUAAGAAAACUUUCAUAAAGAUAGACUAGAAUGAGAUUUACAGAUCAUUUGAUAGACAUGACUGAUUUCCAAAUUUUGCCUGUUUUUAGAAAGGGGUACUGCUUUAAUAGUG
rnacentral:lncRNA from 1 species